rnacentral:rRNA from 1 species
GACGAACGCUGGCGGCGUGCUUAACACAUGCAAGUCGAACGGAAAGGCCUCUUUCGGGGGGUACUCGAGUGGCGAACGGGUGAGUAACACGUGAGUAACCUGCCCUUGACUUUGGGAUAACUUCAGGAAACUGGGGCUAAUACCGGAUAGGAGCUCCUGCUGCAUGGCGGGGGUUGGAAAGUUUCGGCGGUUGGGGAUGGACUCGUGGCUUAUCAGCUUGUUGGUGGGGUAGUGGCUUACCAAGGCUUUGACGGGUAGCCGGCCUGAGAGGGUGACCGGCCACAUUGGGACUGAGAUACGGCCCAGACUCCUACGGGAGGCAGCAGUGGGGAAUAUUGCACAAUGGGUGGAAGCCUGAUGCAGCAACGCCGUGUGCGGGAUGACGGCCUUCGGGUUGUAAACCGCUUUCGCUCAUGACGAAGCUUUGUGUGACGGUAGUGGGUAAAGAAGCACCGGCUAACUACGUG